rnacentral:lncRNA from 1 species
GGUUUUCUACUACAAGGAACCGGUCCAAUCCGAACCGGUCCAAUAUAAUUAAUUAAUAUAUAUUUUUUAUAUUUUAUAUAUUUAUAUUUUAUAUUUUAUAUAUAGUUAACAUGUGGCUGUUUUGUAUUGGCUAUCUAAAAUACUACCGUACGCACACACACACAGGAUCAUCACAACUAAAACACACGAUUUAGGGGUUUCUUCUUCCUUCUUCGAUUUUUUUCCUCUCCCUCUCUCUGAUUUCAGAGCCGCCGAACCCGAAGAACCUUUCCUUUCCUCUGCGUGAAACCAUUGUUGCAGCCAUCCUUGUUCUUCUUCAGCCGUCGCGCCGUCGUCCUCGUCACGCAAGCAGGUUCAAUUCUUCUGGCUUUCUUUUUUCUUUGUUUUUUCGUUUUGUUUCUUUUCCCCCUUCGAUUCUCUGUCUGACCAUCUCUAUGUCCUCCAUCAGCAGUUCGUGCAGAUCAUCAUCCAUAUUUCUGGAGUAGGUUGUAGCUUCGCACUCCUUUUUUUUCUCCCAUUGACGCAGCCGUCCGUGCACUCCUCCUCGUCAGUUUUCCAUUGAAGACUCUCUCUGGACUCCAAGAGCAGAGAGCUGCUUACUUGGGCUCUGGUCAAAGUGGCUAGUUU